rnacentral:lncRNA from 1 species
UUUUUUUUCUAUCUAGAGGCUGCCCACAUCUUUCAGCAUGGCUCCUUCAUCAAGUUUUUCUCAUGAUGUCAUUUUUCUGGUUGUACCCCUUCUGAACCCCUCUUCUACUGGUUUUUUUUUUUUUUUGCUAUAAUUUUAACAGAUAGCCUUAAUUUUAUCUCCUAACCCUUUUACUGAAUCUAUCUUGGCUAUUGUAUUUUAAAUUUUAAAUUUUAAAUUUUCUUUUUCAUAGAACUCUUGUCCUCCGGACAAUUUCUUAUCAAUUUGAGAUUGCUCUUGGUAGUAUUAUUUUGGUUUUCGAUCUUUAUUUCUUGGACUGCCUCUGUUUCCUCCACGUUCUGAAUGCUUAACUUCAGGCUUCUUGGACAUCCUCUUUUACCUUGUAUCCAGAACAUGGAUAGGUGGUCGGGAGCUAAACCCCUGGUAAAGAUGGAGGCAUUCUCUCUAGAGAAAUGGAGGAGCCCCAAAAACUAUGUCUACAUGUUGUCAAUGAAUGGAUCCUCAAUAAAAGAGCCAAGCCUUUUGUUAUCUUUUAUGAAACUCACUUGUUAGUUUUCUGAGCUCUAAUACCACCUAUGUUUUCUGAGCCCUAAGAAACUGAUUAAAAGCUCAGGGUUCAUGAAUGUUACAAGUAUGCAAACUCUUACAGAAAUACUGCAUUCACUUCCUACCCUUCAUAAAAUUAUAUGUUUUCAAGGUCUGUCAAAUGCUUAUUCAGUUUCUCCCUAGAAUUGUCAUCCUGGAGGGUGGGAUAGAGGCAUUGUCUAUUCUAGUAGCCAACAAUCAAAAAAAUAUCUGGAAUACAGAUUUGAAAGACACAAUGUUUGUUCCUGAGAAGGCUAAAGUGCAGUGAUACUAAUACACAUUUAAGUAGAUGUUGUACAUGCUAUGAUUCAAAUGUUUGUGUCACCCUAAAAUUCACAUGUUGAAACCCUAGCCCCAGGGUGAUAUUAUUAGGAGGUAGUGGCCUUUAAGAGAUGAUUAGAUCACAUGGGAGAAACCUCAUGAAUGAGAUUAGUGUUUUUAUAAAAGAGACUUCCCUUGUGCCUUCCACAAUGAGAAUACAUAUUUAAAAGGCUCCGUCUAUGAAAAAGCAAACUGUUACUGGACAUGGAACCUGCCAAUGUCUUGAUCUUGGACUCCCUAGCCUUUAGAACUAUAAGAAAUACAUUUCUAUUGUUUAUAAGAUACCUCGUUUAUAGUAUUUUAUUAUAGGGACCCAAACAGACUAAGACAGUACAUGUUGUUUAUAUAGGAGUAUAAUGAGGGUUUAGUAAGAAUACACUAAGGUGAAAACAAAAUGCAAUCAAUUGUGGAACAGAAGGGAGAAAUGUUGCCUCUGCUUGGAGAGAGUGUUGGAAGCCUUUAUAGCAGGGGUAACGUUUGAACUAGGGAUUUCUGAAAUAAAUGUGUACAGAGUAGAAUUUCCAGGCCGCAGAACGCAUUAAGAAACGCAUCAAGAAGCUGUAAAAUAGCUUGUUCUUGGCAAAUGAUAUAAAGUUAUAGGUGAGGGAAUGUUGGUCGUGAGAGGGAGUUUCAUUCUCAGAAUCAAAAUCAGUAGCAGCUAUGUGUACUCAUCCCACAAUGUUGCUUCAUAAAAAUACAAUUGUAAACUUAUUCCUUGAAAUAUUGCAGGCUGCUCAUUUUUCCUGGCUUUCUCACUGUGACUGUCUCUCCACCUAUCACUUCCUCUUUCUUUAGCUACUGUGCUUGCCAUGUCUUCUAUUACUCAGUAACUCAGGAGAGAGAUAUGGGCUUAAACUACCAAGGUCUAACAGGAUGGGAGACAUGAGGCUUGUCGAAUCAAAAAAAAAGGAGUAAUUCAACAUACAUAAUGGGAUUUGAAGAUUUUAAUUCAUGUCAGAAUUCUUUCUGGAUUCCAGCUUUGGCUGCAAUUUCAUAAGAAAUCAUUAAAGUAUAGGUAUUUUUAGUUAAAGGAUCUCGAUGGACAAGACAUAUUAUGGUCUUUAACCCCUGUGCUCCAGAAACUUAGAUCCCUGGUGUUCCAGGCCAGUGUUCUUUUUAUCCUGUUUUAUCCCCGGUUAGGUCUGCAAAAUCAAGAAUAAACAGGGUUUCUCUCUUCAGUGGAAACAGGGUCACAAGCCACCAGGUGGCGGUGGUCGUUAAAAGUAGAUACAAGUUACAGCACAAGAAUAUUCUGUACUCCUUCCUCUUUUCAUUCUGUCUAUACUGGAAAAGUUUUUCAUGUUCUAAAAUUUCAUUGAGUGUCUCCAGCUGGAUCCUACUUUUCUAUGGGCAAAGCCAUUCUUUCAGUUUCUCAAGUUCAUGUAUUUUUUACCUUUCUAAUUACUUAUUUUUUAAUCCAAUUACUCUGCUUCUUACUAACACAUUGUUUUUCCAUCACAUGAAUUUUCUCAAAUACUUGCAAUGGCUUCUCAGCAACUACUUUGUUCUUGUGAAGUUGCUGUGAAGUUGUUAACAAUUACUUUGUAGUUAAGUAGUUUUCAAGCUCUUCAGGCUAAUAACCAAAACUCAUAAAACCUAGACCAAUCCACCUUUACAUAAAAUAAGCAUAGAAUCACAUAGUGUUGUACGUUGAAAGUACUUAAUAAAAUUCAUAGAAAUUAUAAAUGUACAAAUUAGUAAAAUAAUCACUACACAUAAAAAUAUAUAAAUAUUAUUCAAAUCUAUCAAAAUAUGUAUUUAAAAUACCAAUCAUUGAAAUGGCAUAUAAUUGAUAUUUAUAUAUAAUUAUAAAUAUACACAUGUAUACAAAUGAAAAUAUAAGGGUUUUGGCCCUUACAUCUUUUGUCACCAGUAAGUCGUUUAAAGCUGUCAACUGAAAAGUGAAAUAACAGGCACUAAAACUUAGAGAAAUUAUGGUUAGGUUUAUUUUGAGCCAGGUUUGAGGUCUUAAGCCUGGAAACACAGACUCAGUGCAGACUGAGAAUGAGUCUCCAAAGUAGGUUCCAUGAGGCACAGUACAUAAUUUCCUAAUAGAAGGAUGCAGGUGGUACAGAAGGUGGGAGAAGCAGGGCCAAGAAGCAGCAGUUACAUUCCUAUGAUUCUGACUGGUGUUCAGUGACACUGAGGGAAGAGAGAGACCCUCUCAUAUUGUUUUAUACUCAGAAAAGGAAGGAGAAGCAGAACUAAAGGCAGGUAGCCCGGUGCCUAGGAACCAGACCCGAAACCAAGGAACCAGACCUGAAACCAGGCCUGGGCCUGCCAGACCUAAGCCUGGUAGUUAAAAUUCGACCCCUGACCUCGCAACUCAUGUUAUCUAUAGAUUCCAGACAUUGUAUGGAAGGACAUUGUGAAACCUCCUGAUCUGUUCUGUUUCACUCUGACCACCAGUGCUUACAGUCCCUGUCACGUACCCCCUGGCUUGCUCAAUCAAUCACGACCCUCUCACGCGGACCCCCUUAGAGUUGUGAGCCCUUAAAAGGGACAGAAGUUGAGCGCCUGAUGAGCUCGGAUUUUCACAUGCUAGCCUGCUGAUGCUCCCAGCUGAUUAAAGCCGCUCCCUUCACUAUCUCGGUGUCUGAGAGGUUUUGUCCACAGCUCGUCCUGCUACAACAGUAUCCAUAGAAGACAUAUAUAUAUGAGAUGUACAUGCAGUUGAGCAGGUGGAGACUAAGGUUAGUCAUCUGAGGAUCUGGUACAGGGUGACUGAUUCCAUUUUGUCUUUGUUCUACCUCCGAUACACAUGUUUAUAACCUGUACCUGUCAGUGAAAUAUUUAACAAACUCCAGUUACACAGGUAAGAGGUCAAAUUUACUUUAUAGGCCUAGGAUUUAUUACCCAUGUGCCUGGCUGCAACCAUCGUGGCCACUGUCAAAAUUUUCUUUUCUUUUUUUUUUUUUUCUGACAAAGCCUAUAGGCCCUUGAGGUUUAAAGAUUACACGUUAUAAAAUCUCAGCAGGGUACAGUGGCUCAUGCCUGUAAUCCCAUUGCUUUGGGAGGCUGAGGUGGAGGGAUAGUGGGAGGCGAGGAGUUCAAGACUAGCCUGGGCAACACUGAAAGAUCCCGUGUCUAAGAAAAUAAAACAAAACAAAAUAAAACGUCAGUGUCAUAUCAGAUUUAACCACAGACCUGUGGUAUAAGUCAAUGCAUCCUCCUAUGAAAAGAGCUAACUGUUUUUACAUAGAAUAGACU